rnacentral:rRNA from 1 species
GGGGAAUAUUGCACAAUGGGCGCAAGCCUGAUGCAGCGACGCCGCGUGAGGGAUGGAGGCCUUCGGGUUGUAAACCUCUUUUAUCGGGGAGCAAGCGAGAGUGAGUUUACCCGUUGAAUAAGCACCGGCUAACUACGUGCCAGCAGCCGCGGUAAUACGUAGGGUGCAAGCGUUAUCCGGAAUUAUUGGGCGUAAAGGGCUCGUAGGCGGUUCGUCGCGUCCGGUGUGAAAGUCCAUCGCUUAACGGUGGAUCCGCGCCGGGUACGGGCGGGCUUGAGUGCGGUAGGGGAGACUGGAAUUCCCGGUGUAACGGUGGAAUGUAUAGAUAUCGGGAAGAACACCAAUGGCGAAGGCAGGUCUCUGGGCCGUUACUGACGCUGAGGAGCGAAAGCGUGGGGAGCGAACAGGAUUAGAUACCCUGGUAGUCCACGCCGUAAACGGUGGAUGCUGGAUGUGGGGCCCGUUCCACGGGUUCCGUGUCGGAGCUAACGCGUUAAGCAUCCCGCCUGGGGAGUACGGCCGCAAGGCUAAAACUCAAAGAAAUUGACGGGGGCCCGCACAAGCGGCGGAGCAUGCGGAUUAAUUCGAUGCAACGCGAAGAACCUUACCUGGGCUUGACAUGUUCCCGACGGUCGUAGAGAUACGGCUUCCCUUCGGGGCGGGUUCACAGGUGGUGCAUGGUCGUCGUCAGCUCGUGUCGUGAGAUGUUGGGUUAAGUCCCGCAACGAGCGCAACCCUCGCCCCGUGUUGCCAGCGGAUUAUGCCGGGAACUCACGGGGGACCGCCGGGGUUAACUCGGAGGAAGGUGGGGAUGACGUCAGAUCAUCAUGCCCCUUACGUCCAGGGCUUCACGCAUGCUACAAUGGCCGGUACAACGGGAUGCGACGCGGCGACGCGGAGCGGAUCCCUGAAAACCGGUCUCAGUUCGGAUCGCAGUCUGCAACUCGACUGCGUGAAGGCGGAGUCGCUAGUAAUCGCGAAUCAGCAACGUCGCGGUGAAUGCGUUCCCG